rnacentral:rRNA from 1 species
UACGGGAGGCAGCAGUGGGGAAUAUUGGACAAUGGGGGAAACCCUGAUCCAGCGAUGCCGCGUGAGUGAAGAAGGCCUUCGGGUCGUAAAGCUCUUUAGGUUGGGAAGAAGUGUAUUGGGUUAAUACCCUGAUACAUUGACGGUACCGACAGAAUAAGCACCGGCAAACUCUGUGCCAGCAGCCACGGUAAUACAGAGGGUGCGAGCGUUAAUCGGAUUUACUGGGCGUAAAGGGCGCGUAGGCGGUUUAAUGAGUGUGAUGUGAAAGCCCUGGGCUCAACCUAGGAAGUGCAUCGCAAACGAUUGAACUGGAGUAUAUGAGAGGGUGGUGGAAUUUCCGGUGUAGCAGUGAAAUGCGUAGAGAUCGGAAAGAACGUCGAUGGCGAAGGCAGCCACCUGGCAUAAUACUGACGCUGAGGCGCGAAAGCGUGGGGAUCAAACAGGAUUAGAUACCCUGGUAGUCCACGCUGUAAACGAUGAUAACUAGAUGUUGGUAGGGGAACCUAUCGGUAUCGUAGCUAACGCGAUAAGUUAUCCGCCUGGGAAGUACGGCCGCAAGGUUGAAACUCAAAGGAAUUGACGGAAGGGC